UACGUAGGGUGCAAGCGUUAAUCGGAAUUACUGGGUGUAAAGCGUGCGCAGGCGGUGAUGUAAGACAGGUGUGAAAUCCCCGGGCUUAACCUGGGAACUGCAUUUGUGACUGCAUCGCUGGAGUGCGGCAGAGGGGGAUGGAAUUCCGCGUGUAGCAGUGAAAUGCGUAGAUAUGCGGAGGAACACCGAUGGCGAAGGCAAUCCCCUGGGCCUGCACUGACGCUCAUGCACGAAAGCGUGGGGAGCAACAGG
rnacentral:rRNA from 1 species